rnacentral:rRNA from 1 species
UACGUAGGGUGCAAGCGUUGUCCGGAAUCACUGGGCGUAAAGGGCGCGUAGGCGGCUUGAUAAGCGUGCGGUGAAAGCCCGGGGCUCAACCCCGGGUCGGCCGUGCGAACUGUCGAGCUGGAGCACUGUAGAGGCAGGUGGAAUUCCGGGUGUAGCGGUGGAAUGCGUAGAGAUCCGGAAGAACACCGGUGGCGAAGGCGGCCUGCUGGGCAGUGGCUGACGCUGAGGCGCGACAGCGUGGGGAGCAAACAGG